AUUAAGCCAUGCAGGUCUAAGUGCACACGGUCGGUACAGUGAAACUGCGAAUGGCUCAUUAAAUCAGUUAUGGUUCCUUUGAUCGCUCCACCCGCUACUUGGAUAACUGUGGCAAUUCCAGAGCUAAUACAUGCUAACGAGCGCCGACCCGGCUCCCCUCGGGGGGUCGGGGACGCGUGCAUUUAUCAGAUCCAAAACCCAUCCGGGGUCGGCUCCGGCCGCCCCGGCCGCUUUGGUGACUCUAGAUAACCUCGGGCCGAUCGCGCGCCCUCCGCGGCGGCGACGACUCAUUCGAAUGUCUGCCCUAUCAACUUUCGAUGGUACAUUCGGCGCCUACCAUGGUGACCACGGGUAACGGGGAAUCAGGGUUCGAUUCCGGAGAGGGAGCCUGAGAAACGGCUACCACAUCCAAGGAAGGCAGCAGGCGCGCAAAUUACCCAUUUCCGACACGGAGAGGUA
rnacentral:rRNA from 1 species